UACCUACAACCCAAUCUUAGGGAGGCAUUUUCUAAAUUGAGGUCCCUCCUCCCAGAUGACUUUAGCUUGUGUCAAGUUGACAUAAAACUAGCCAGGACAUUCCUUUUCCCCCAAAUGUAUGGAAACCUAGCAUGCACUUUAUCACAGCUAGAGACAGAAGGAUAAGUUCUAGGCCAGUCUGGACUAAACAGUGAAACUGUCUCCAAGAAAACAGUAAGGAAAACCUGUUGUGGGAGCUGCUGACUCUCACAGAAUUGUAGUGCUCCUUCCUUUCUGAAGCGCUUUAGAGAUGCGCUCUUACGUGUGUGCUUUACGUAGUUGCAGUCAGUACUCUCUCUCCGUUGUCUUGUUUUCCCUUAACAUCAUUUCACAUUCUGAUUUCCAUCCCCGCAGUGCGCAUAAUGGUGUGCUUAAUGGCUGUCUAACAUUGAACUGGGCUUACUUUUGUGAGCAGACCCAAAAGCCUGCUGUCUCUUAGCAGGAGAGGCUUAUUUUAGUUCCUGGAAGUGGCAACUGGUGUGAGCGUGGGAUCCCAUGGCAUUCUUGACUCACCAGCACACAGCUCAGUCUGCUUUGUUAACAUUGCUCUGCCUACCACUCCACAGCAGAGCCUCCCCAGGCUUCCUGGACCUGAGUUGGACUCCUCCUGGGUGCAGAGGCAGGAGUAUAAUCCCCCAACUUCCGCAAACCCUGACCCAGAUCUAAUGCUAACAUAACAACAGCAAGAAAUGUCUGCUGCUUCCUCCCUUGCCGGGCAUCACAGUGGCACUGGUGUCCCCCACAGAGCUUGAAGUGAGUGAAGUGUCUGAAGGAGCAAGGGACAGGUUGUUAUAGCUGAAGGAAUAAGACGGAGCUCAGGGAUGCCGUGACCAUAACCCUAGGUGCAUUUGUGAAAAUGUAAUGGGCUGAAGUUUGGGUUCCAGGUACCAAAAUGUUGAGUGAUACCUUUCUUUUUUCAAACCUCUUCCUGGCAGAAACCCCAAUAUUUGGUCUGCUGAUAAAGAUAAAGGGUUUAUAGGAUUGGAUAAGAAAACAGUAAACUGGGGUUUGCCUCCUUAUCUAGCUGUGGCCACUGUCAUCUUCUGGACAAGGACAAUAGUUGGCAUGCAGGAUUCUCCUGAGAGAAAGUGAUAUUUGGUACAUCUCAUUAUUACGCCAUUCCAGCAGCAACUGUCUUGAAAAGAAGUGAUGGGUUAUUUUGCCACAAAUUAACACUGUUCUUUCCUUGUUCUUUUUCAUUUUUUUCAGACAGGGGCUCAUGUAGCCCAGGCUGGUAUCGAACUUGCCCUGAUCCUUACCUCCAGAGUGCUAGGAUUAUAGGCAUACACAGUCAUGCCCAGUUUCAUGCUGGGGAUCAAGGAACACAUGCAUAAUUUGUGGGGAUGAGAGUGCAGGAAUUGGAAACCAUUCAGAGCAACGGGAUGCCUGUACCUAGCCACAGUAUAUUCUGUAGUCCCAAAGUGAAGAUUUGACUUGAAAGAACUAAUAGAUUUAGAAUCUCCAUGGAAACGCCUCCAGAUGUCUAUGAGGAUGUUUCCACAGAAGGAAGACACCCUGGGUGUGUGCCGCAGCACCACAGUGGAGUGGGAUGGUCCUGGACUGGAAGGGGGGAGGGGUGUGAGAGUGAACUGAGCGCCAGCCUUUCUUUCUGCUCCCUGACUCUGAAUGCAGUGUCGCCAUUGCCAUAUGCUCUGUUGCCACAGCUAGGGCCACUCGAGAUAAUGUGCCUCUCUCUCCCUUCACAAUGGACUUUAUUUCCCCUCAAACUGGGAAGUAAAAUAAACAUUUCCUCGA